rnacentral:rRNA from 1 species
AUUGAACGCUGGCGGCAUGCCUUACACAUGCAAGUCGAACGGCAGCGGACCUUCGGGUGCCGGCGAGUGGCGAACGGGUGAGUAAUAUAUCGGAACGUACCUUUCAGUGGGGGAUAACGUAGCGAAAGUUACGCUAAUACCGCAUAUUCUGUGAGCAGGAAAGCAGGGGAUCGCAAGACCUUGCGCUGAUUGAGCGGCCGAUAUCAGAUUAGCUAGUUGGUGAGGUAAAGGCUCACCAAGGCGACGAUCUGUAGCGGGUCUGAGAGGAUGAUCCGCCACACUGGAACUGAGACACGGUCCAGACUCCUACGGGAGGCAGCAGUGGGGAAUAUUGGACAAUGGGCGAAAGCCUGAUCCAGCCAUGCCGCGUGAGUGAUGAAGGCCUUAGGGUUGUAAAGCUCUUUCAGUGGGGAAGAUAAUGACGGUACCCACAGAAGAAGCCCCGGCUAACUUCGUGCCAGCAGCCGCGGUAAUGU